rnacentral:rRNA from 1 species
UCUGGUUGAUCCUGCCAGUAGUCAUAUGCUUGUCUCAAAGAUUAAGCCAUGCAUGUCUAAGUAUAAAUAGUAUACAGUGAAACUGCGAAUGGCUCAUUAAAACAGUUAUAGUUUAUUUGAUAAUUGACAAUUACAUGGAUAACCGUGGUAAUUCUAGAGCUAAUACAUGCUUAAACGCCCGACUUUAUGGAAGGGUGGUAUUUAUUAGACUGAAGCCAAUAUUCCUUGUGUCUAUUGCGGUGAUUCAUAAUAACUGAUCGAAUCUCUUUUUGAGAUAAAUCAUUCAAGUUUCUGCCCUAUCAGCUUUCGAUGGUAGUGUAUUGGACUACCAUGGCAGUAACGGGUAACGAAGAAUUAGGGUUCGAUUUCGGAGAGGGAGCAUGAGAAACGGCUACCACAUCUAAGGAAGGCAGCAGGCGCGUAAAUUACCCAAUCCUGACUCAGGGAGGUAGUGACAAGAAAUAGCAAACCGGGAACCUCAUGGUUUCACGGUAUUGCAAUGAGAACAAUUUAAAACCCUUAGCGAGAAUCAAGUGGAGGACAAGUCUGGUGCCAGCACCCGCGGUAAUUCCAGCUCCACUAGCGUAUAUUAAAGUUGUUGCAGUUAAAAAGCUCGUAGUUGAACCUCUGUCUGGGGCUAGUUUUGGCUUUGGUCUGGCUAGUUCUAGGCAUCCGCCUACAAGACUUAGAGGGCAUUCAGUUGUUCACUAGGAGGAGUAGGCAUUUUACUUUGAAAAAAUUAGAGUGUUUAAGGCAGGCAAUCGCCCGCAUAUAUUAGCAUGGAAUAAUAGAAUAGGACACUUUUCCAUUUCGUUGGUUAUUGGAAUCGUGUAAUGAUUAAUAGGGACAGUUGUGGGCAUUUGUAUUUAAUUGUCAGAGGUGAAAUUCUUGGAUUUAUUAAAGACAAACUAACGCGAAAGCAUUUGCCAAGGAUGUUUUCAUUAAUCAAGAACGAAAGUUAGGGGAUCAAAGACGAUCAGAUACCGUCCUAGUCUUAACUAUAAACUAUUCCGACUCAAUGUUUGACUGGCUUAUAUAACCAGUUGAGCGUUGUAUGAGAAAUCAAAGUCUUUUAGGUUCUGGGGGGAGUAUGGUUGCAAAGCUGAAACUUAAAGGAAUUGACGGAAGAGCACAACCAGGAGUGGAUUCUGCGGCUUAAUUUGACUCAACACGGGGAAACUUACCAGGUUAAAACAAUAGUGGGAUUGACAGUUUGAGAGCGCUUUCUUGAUUGGUUGGGUGGUGGUGCAUGGCC